rnacentral:rRNA from 1 species
AGAACGAACGCUGGCGGCAGGCCUAACACAUGCAAGUCGAACGCCCCGCAAGGGGAGUGGCAGACGGGUGAGUAACGCUUGGGAACAUACCCUUCGGUUCGGAAUAGCUCAGGGAAACUUGAAUUAAUACCGGAUACGUCCGCAAGGAGAAAGAUUUAUCGCCGAAGGAUUGGCCCGCGUCUGAUUAGCUAGUUGGUGAGGUAACGGCUCACCAAGGCGACGAUCAGUAGCUGGUCUGAGAGGAUGAUCAGCCACAUUGGGACUGAGACACGGCCCAAACUCCUACGGGAGGCAGCAGUGGGGAAUAUUGGACAAUGGGCGCAAGCCUGAUCCAGCCAUGCCGCGUGAGUGAUGAAGGCCCUAGGGUUGUAAAGCUCUUUCGUCAGGGACGAUAAUGACGGUACCUGAAGAAGAAGCCCGGCUAACUUCGUGCCAGCAGCCGC